rnacentral:rRNA from 1 species
AAUUCCGAGACAGGUGCUGCAUGGCUGUCGUCAGCUCGUGCCGUGAGGUGUUGGGUUAAGUCCCGCAACGAGCGCCAACCCCUAUUGCCAGUUGCUACCAGGUAAUGCGUGGGCACUCUGGUGAGACUGCCCCGGUUAACGGGGAGGAAGGUGGGGACGACGUCAAGUCAUCAUGGCCCUUACGCCUAGGGCUACACACGUACUACAAUGGCGCAUACAAAGGGCAGCGAUACCGCGAGGUGGAGCCAACUCCCAAAAAGUGCGUCCCAGUCCGGAUUGCAGUCUGCAACUCGACUGCAUGAAGUUGGAAUCGCUAGUAAUUCGAGAUCAGCAUGCUCGGGUGAAUGCGUUCCCGGGCCUU